rnacentral:rRNA from 1 species
UCCGUAGGUGAACCUGCGGAAGGAUCAUUACAGAGCGUGAGGCUCAGUCGUGGCGUCAGCUGCGUGCUGGGCCGACCCUCCCACCCGUGUCGAUUUCUAUCUUGUUGCUUUGGCGGGCCGGGCUACGUCGUCGCUGCCCGUACGGACAUGUGUCGGCCGCCCACCGGUUUCGACUGGAGCGCGUCCGCCAAAGACCUAACCAAAACUCAUGUUGUCUUUGUCGUCUCAGCUUUAUUAUUGAAUUGAUAAAACUUUCAACAACGGAUCUCUUGGCUCUGGCAUCGAUGAAGAACGCAGCGAAAUGCGAUAAGUAAUGUGAAUUGCAGAAUUUAGUGAAUCAUCGAAUCUUUGAACGCACAUUGCGCCCCUUGGUAUUCCGAGGGGCAUGCCUGUUCGAGCGUCAUAACACCCCCUCCAGCUGCCUUUGUGUGGUUGCGGUGUUGGGGCCCGUCGCGUUGCGGCAGCUCUUAAAGAUAGUGGCGGUCCUGGCGUGGGCUCUACGCGUAGUAACUUGCUUCUCGCGACAGAGUGACGACAGUGGCUUGCCAAAAGCCCGUUUGUUCCAGUCACAUGGAUCACAGGUUGACCUCGAAUCAGGUAGGAAUACCCGCUGAACUUAAGCAUAUCAAUAAGCGGAGGA